UUUCGUGGUCACAGCGAAGGGGCAACACCCGGCAUCCAUCCCGAACCCGGAAGUUAAGCCCUUCAGCGCCGAUGGUACUGCAGGGGCAACCCUGUGGGAGAGUAGGACACCGCGAAAC
rnacentral:rRNA from 1 species